GACGAACGCUGGCGGCGUGCUUAACACAUGCAAGUCGAGCGGUAAGGCCCUUUCGGGGGUACACGAGCGGCGAACGGGUGAGUAACACGUGGGUGACCUGCCCUCAGCUCUGGGAUAAGCCUGGGAAACCGGGUCUAAUACUGGAUAUGACUCCAUGACGCAUGCUGUGGGGUGGAAAGCCUUGUGCGGCUGAGGAUGGGCCCGCGGCCUAUCAGCUUGUUGGUGGGGUGAUGGCCUACCAAGGCGACGACGGGUAGCCGGCCUGAGAGGGCGACCGGCCACACUGGGACUGAGACACGGCCCAGACUCCUACGGGAGGCAGCAGUGGGGAAUCUUGGGCAAGUGGGCGCAAGCCUGACCCAGCAAUACCGCGUGAGGGAUGAAGGCC
rnacentral:rRNA from 1 species